rnacentral:rRNA from 1 species
UACGGGGGGGGCAAGCGUUGUUCGGAAUUACUGGGCGUAAAGGGCCAGUAGGCGGCCAACUAAGUCGGAUGUGAAAUCCCCAGGCUUAACCUGGGAAACUGCAUCCGAUACUGGAUGGCUUGAAUUCGGGAGAGGGAUGGCAGAAUUCCGAGGUGGUAGCGGUGAAAUGACGUAGAUAUCAGGAGGAACACCAAUUGCGAAGGCAGCUCGCUGGGACGUUACUGACGCUGAGACGCGAAAGCGUGGGGAGCAAACAGG